rnacentral:rRNA from 1 species
UCUCGAACUCGGCCGUUAACCGCCCCAGCGCCUAUGGUACUGUGUCUCAAGACACGGGAGAGUCGGUCACCGCCAGAC